UAGGAAAACCAAAUAAUUUCUUGUCAGGAGGAAAUCUGUGUUGCUGUUGUUUAGUCCCCGUUUCUCAGUGAUGCUUGCAGACAAGGAUACAGCCCACGGGAGUGGAUGCGCACUCUGCAGUGACGGGAGCAUGCAGGACCGGAGAGGAAGGGCUGCAUCAAGCCUGGAAGGAGUGGUGAGCCAUGUACAACUUUUAGCAAAGCAGGAAUUGGGAAGCCAGAAAGCAGAAUUCAGUAAAGAUUACUUCACAGAGUAGUGGCAUCUGAUCUGAGGUCACAACACAUUUACCUUUUUCACUUCAGUUUUCUUCUAAAAACAUCUUGUACUUGUCUUUUCUUCACAUCUGUGUAAUGACGUACGGCUACAGGGCUAAACUUAUUCACAUUUUGCUAUCUUAUUGUCUUUGGCAAAUAUGUCUGAAGGGGCUGCAGGGCUGAAAAGGGCUCAGUGAAAGCCAUUGUGACAAAGUAACAUAAAUGAGACGAAUCUUGCACACGUGAAUGUGCUUGGAAGAUGCAUUGAUUUGGCAAGCUGUAACGCGACUUCGGCUGCCUGAGCUGACUCGGGAAGCUUUCCAUGUCCUUUUGCCUCCUGUAUUUUCCCUUUGAGUUGCCCAAGUUUAUUCUCACUUUUGGUUUCAGGCUGAUUCACAAACACCCAGGAGAUGCUCCAGCUAAUUCUUGAGCUUCCAGACAGUGAGAGAGAAAUUGUGCUUAUAGUGUAAAUGGAGAUUGCUCUCUGCAAAAGGCUCUCCCGCUUGCGUUGCUGUGCUUCAGAUCUAAGGCACAGAGGGUUGCUGUUAAAGGAUGUCUAACAAUGAAGAAACCUUGCUUUUGAGCUGUAGCUGUCCACGGAUGCAGGCAUCACCCCUGCAGAUGUUGAAGGAAUAAAAGAGCCAGUAUGUGCGCCUGUGACAGACCAUCACCAAGGGCACACACUCUUCCAGUUUUCUCAUUGAAGAGUGCCAAGGGUCAGGAUUUUCAUCUUGCCACAUUGUUUGACAGCUGGUACCACUGGAAGCAGAGUGCCCUUGUGUCAGAGACAGGAGAAAGAUGAGCCUCCGCACACCUUCAGCUGUCCAUACCCCAGGGGCACCAACUGACAUUGUCUAGGAUGCUGAGCUACAGGCAUUCUGGGUCCCAAGGCAAGUAACAUCCUGUGGAGCUGCACGGUAUGUUAGUUAUCCAAAUGGUUGGAUCAUUAUUCAUAAGAAGGCAAAGGCUGUAUCGUCAUCUGACUGUGCAGAAUAGCACCCAUUCCUCAGCAAUGUAGAAAAAGUUGGAUUUAAGUCCUUAUCUGGAUUGCACAGGUGAGAUACAAGCGCCAUGUGUAGAUGUGCCUGGACUAGUUUUCAUCUGUGAAGGAGCUGCAAUAGGAAACUCAGGACCUGAUGUUUGCUCUGCACUAGAGGCUUAAGUGGUCAUGGCUUGCCCAGUAUGGGUCACUGGACAGGCACUGUUUCAGGAGUGCUUGCAGACACAGCAUGAACACCACACAAAUCAGUGUGU